rnacentral:rRNA from 1 species
AUUGAACGCUGGCGGCAUGCUUUACACAUGCAAGUCGGACGAGUGGCGGACGGGUGAGUAAUGUCUUGGAACGUACCCAGUAGUGGGGGAUAACCACUCGACAGAUUGGCUAAUACCGCAUAUUAUUCGAUCGGCCAAGAUCGGAUUAGCUAGUUGGUGGGGUAAAGGCCUACCAAGGCGACGAUCAGUAGCGGGUCUGAGAGGAUGAUCCGCCACACGGGGACGGAGACACGGCCCAGAUCCCUCCGGGAGGCAGCAGGGGGGAAUUUUGGACAAUGGGCGCAAGCCUGAGCCAGCCAUGCCGCGUGUCUGAAGAAGGCCUUCGGGUUGUAAAGGACUUUGGUGAGGGAAGCGGUACCUAAAGAAUAAGCACCGGCUAACUACGUGCCAGCAGCCGCGGUAAUUC